rnacentral:rRNA from 1 species
CCAGACUCCUACGGGAGGCAGCAGUGGGGAAUAUUGCACAACGGGCGAAAGCCUGAUGCAGCAACGCCGCGUGAAGGAAGAAGGCCUUCGGGUCGUAAACUUCUGUCCUUGGGGAAGAAGAACUGACGGUACCCAAGGAGGAAGCUCCGGCUAACUACGUGCCAGCAGCCGCGGUAAUACGUAGGGAGCGGGCGUUGUCCGGAAUUACUGGGUGUAAAGGGAGCGUAGGCGGGAUUGCAAGUUGGAUGUGAAAACUGCGGGCUCAACCCGGAGCGUGCAUUCAAAACUGCGAUUCUUGAGUGAAGUAGAGGCAAGCGGAAUUCCUAGUGUAGCGGUGAAAUGCGUAGAUAUUAGGAGGAACACCAGUGGCGAAGGCGGCUUGCUGGGCUUUUACUGACGCUGAGGCUCGAAAGUGUGGGGAGCAAACAGGAUUAGAUACCCCAGUA